CACCUCCAGCAGCCCCACAAGAUGAGAGAAAUCACCAACGGCUGAUUGGAGGAUACUUCUCGGCUUCUCCCUCUGGGCGCGACGGGCUGGGCUACUGCUCUCUUCUCUAGUCCCCCAUAAUUCUUACCCACACCUCAUUUGCUACCAUCUCCCUCCUCCUUACUCCCUUUUCUGCCCUGCCUCUCCCUCUCUCUCUCUCUGCUUGUCUGCAGGCAAGGGAGCAAGCACUGGAAAGCCUGUGCACGCUGCUGGAGCGGGACAGGAGGAGAUAACCACGUGAAAGUGCAUGAAAUAUCAAGCAUGCAGACAAGCAGGGAGGUUAAUUCACCCCUGGCAUCUUAAGCCAUUAUAUGUCACCUUGAGUUCUCAUGAGAUGGUAUUGGAAAGAGAAGGAUGAUUGCACUUGUUCAAACCAGUCAAAAUGCCCAAAGCAGGCAGAGAGCUGGUGACAGGCUGCGCAUUUAGAUGAGCUUUUACGCUUCCACAAAGGAGGAGGAAAUACUGGGGGAAAUGGAGGAAAACAAGUGAAUAACAGGUGUGACAGGACGCGUUUAAAGAUAACGGAAGAGAGCCCGGGAGAGAAAAUGCAAAUGAGCGCGUGGGAGAGAAUCGAAGAAGCUGAGAUUGUGCGGUAAUCACGAUGACCUGCUGAAGAUUCAGUUGGAUAUUUGUGAUUAAGAAAACCUCUGGGCCGCACUACCAGCGCUGCUAAACACAAUAAGAGCACCGAUUUCUGCUAAUUUCCUCGUUUAAAAAAAAAGCCUUUUUGCUGCAGUGCUCCGCUGCCACGGACCUCAGAGAUCCACAGGGCCUCGAGUCAAGGAUGUCAGUAACUGAUACCAACAGCUACUUUUCUCCACACCAAGCACCUGUUUUCUACGCGGAAUCUGCAGUUUUGCUUUUAUUCCGUCGUUGCACGCUUGUCUGCUACACCAGAGAGGGAUUUAUCCGCAGAAUCAACUUCUCUGCCGGGUCACUUAUUAUGCCGCGCUCCCUCUCAUGUGCACAUCUUGACGUCCUGUGAUAGCUGGCGUUUGAUAUUUCAUUUGGGAUAUUAGUUCAAUCGGGCUUACGCGGACGAGAGACGCCCACGGCAUACUGAGUGCGCGCCACAUGCGCUUUACCCUUUCUCACACAAACACAAGCAGAAAGACGUCUCUCUCUCUCUCUCUCUCCCCCCAAUCUGUCUGCUUUAAAUCCUCCUCCCCAUCACAAAAGGUCAGCGUGCAGUGUGGAAACAUUCCGAAAUAUCAGCCGACCCGCUCCGCGAGACACCGAGGAGUAGAGGGCGUCCCGUUCAGACAGACAGGUCGGCCCGUGUGCGGCUCAUGUUGGAUCUGUCGCUUCACAUCAUCUACUCCAGAUACUUUCUUCUUGAACGGAGCAGAGAGCCGGGAGUAUGCUGCCCUUCUGUUUCUCCACUGAACUCUACCUUUGGUGUGACAUCAGCAUACGCCCGCCGGCCUUGACCCCCGCCGGGGUCAGACAUGCAAAAAGCCAAGCAGACAUUUCGUCUUCCUGGGACUUUCAAUGAGACGAUGUGUCGCGUUCUGCCAGGGAGGGUGAAGCGUCUGUCUGGUAGAAAUGUUAAUAGAAAAUUAUGUAUUCAUGAGUAAAAUAAAAAGAGACACAGUAGGAUCUACGUUUAUAAUGGGGAAGGUGGACUGCGGGGAGAUUAAAAGGGAUGAAAAUAUCUAGAGAGAAGAACAGCAGUUCUUUUCAAACACUACUUUCUUUUCACUCGGCACAGAGCUGAUAGCAGAGUAAUGGAAUACUGGCAGAAUUUUAACAGUGUUCUCAUUAUUUAUUUACUGCUCUGAGGAUAAGCGCCCCGAUACACUGCUGCAGAAAACAUGCUUUGUGGUUUUCUUUUGCGUGUACGUGUUCAUGUAUGUUUGAGUGUGUGCGUGCGUGUGCGUGUGGCGUGACUGCCACAUCGUAGCGGGGGGGAAGCGGCAGCAGCUUCAUUCACAUUCAAGAGAAGUCACUGUGUGUGUGAAAGCUAUUUCAUAGAGAAAAAGGAUGAGGGUCAUCAGCCAAGUCUGAGCGGCACCAAGUAGUAAGAAGCAGCAAUGAACUACAAAACAAGUAGAGGACACACAUCAUCUUCUGCCAACUGAUUCUUAAUAUCUGUUAUUGUACGGAGUCGGCUUGCUCUAAUAUUUCUUUCGCUGUGCUCUCUUGAAAAAAAAAAAA